UACGUAGGGUGCGAGCGUUAAUCGGAAUUACUGGGCGUAAAGCGUGCGCAGGCGGUGAUGUAAGACAGAUGUGAAAUCCCCGGGCUCAACCUGGGAACUGCAUUUGUGACUGCAUCGCUGGAGUGCGGCAGAGGGGGAUGGAGUUCCGCGUGUAGCAGUGAAAUGCGUAGAUAUGCGGAGGAACACCGAUGGCGAAGGCAAUCCCCUGGGCCUGCACUGACGCUCAUGCACGAAAGCGUGGGGAGCAAACAGG
rnacentral:rRNA from 1 species